rnacentral:misc_RNA from 1 species
GAAAUGCGAUAAGUAAUGUGAAUUGCAGAAUUUAGUGAAUCAUCGAAUCUUUGAACGCACAUUGCGCCCGCCAGUAUUCUGGCGGGCAUGCCUGUUCGAGCGUCAUUUCAACCAUCAAGCCCCCGGCUUGUGUUGGGGACCUGCGGCUGCCCGCAGGCCCUGAAAAACAGUGGCGGGCUCGCUGUCACACCGAGCGUAGUAGCAUACAUUCUCGCUCAGGGCGUGCUGCGGGUUCCGGCCGUUAAACGACCUUCAUAACCCAAGGUUGACCUCGGAUCAGGUAGGAAGACCCGCUGAACUUAAGC